GUUGUCUGAGUUUGUGUAACGUAUAAAUAAGAAGACAAACACAGUAACUCAUCCUCUUCCUCUGCUUCCUUCCUACUCUACCAUGCCCUUGCAGCUAAGCAGAGCUUGUUUUUGCUGACAAUGGCUGCUGCAAACACAGUGCCAAGCUUCAGAGGUUUUUAAAACUGACAAAAACAAGAUGCUUCUGCUAUGGAUGGAAGGAACCUAACUAGGAUUAUAAAUAAAAAUUUCUUCCUAUGGUGAAGAAUGGAGAAAUAAAAUCUAGGUAUUUACAAUAAGAAAACUCUGAAGUAGUUAUUCUAGGCAUAAGUUUUUGUUAAAACAGGACUCGGUUUUAUUUUAUUAUAUAAAUAUAUGUGUCUUUGUGUGUGUGUGUGUUUAUUGAAGCAAGAACAAUAAAGGGUGUGAAAUAAAGCAUUAACAACACCCCCUUAGAGUCUGAUAACACAAUUUGAUGCACCAUAGUUUCUAGGAAAAAAAGUGCCUCAGAUUGCAGAAAUAAAAGAGUCUCAAAAUAAAGAAAACAUUACAUAAAAUAAGGCACUUUCAAAGUGUCUGUGAGUCCUCUAGUUUGGUUCCUUCAGCAGCUCCAUCAGUACUGGCUGUCAAGCUCACGAAGGAUUGGAAUGAACAGCUCUGGACUAAAGGGCUUCUCAACAUAGUGAUCGCCACCAGCUUGAAUAAACCGCGAGCGCUCUUCUUCAACGUACAUUGCAGAGCUUCCCACAAUCCUGCUUUGCACGCCCAUGUUUCGAAGCGCUCUAGCAGUCUAUGAUGACAACAUAGGAAAAACAAGAAUAAGAUUUGGAUCGAUGACAAUAAGAUCGAAUGUAGCUCCACCAUGGAUGAGCUCAAUAGCAGCAGUACCACUCUCUACAUCCUGAGUGUCCACUCCAUAAGCAGCUAGGUAACUCUUCUCGAGCAUUCUGCAGAAUGGUACACUGUCCACAACAAGAGCAGUGAGCCUGUUCCUCCAGGUCAUAAAGGUUUUUUUUUUGGCGUUGAAGUCUUCACCGGGUGGAUUCCUACGCUGAGGCAGCUUCUCGCACCCAUUUGCACGUACUUGGCCGGGUAAAAAGUAUGAAGGUGCCAUUUCUCUUCAGUCAAAAACCAAAAACAGUAAGCAAAAUCAAGAGUAUCUAGCAUUAUCUUAUGUACUUUGUUUAGAUUCUAUAGAGUGUGUGAAUUGCAAUAUUGAGUUGAUAUAAUUCAUUUGAAAUUUUGUCUUUAAA